UACGUAGGGUGCGAGCGUUGUCCGGAAUUAUUGGGCGUAAAGAGCUUGUAGGCGGUUUGUCGCGUCUGCUGUGAAAUUUCGGGGCUCAACCCCGAACUUGCAGUGGGUACGGGCAGACUAGAGUGUGGUAGGGGAGACUGGAAUUCCUGGUGUAGCGGUGAAAUGCGCAGAUAUCAGGAGGAACACCGAUGGCGAAGGCAGGUCUCUGGGCCGCUACUGACGCUGAGGAGCGAAAGCGUGGGGAGCGAACAGG
rnacentral:rRNA from 1 species